rnacentral:lncRNA from 1 species
GCGGCGUAGAAGAGGAAAGGCUGGGGGUUUCGGAUGGUUGUUUUUGAAGCCAUCAGUAUUCUUGAAGAAGCAGCAUAUCUUGAACUGUCCUAUGGGUGAAGGCUUUGAUGUGGUCCUGUAAAAACUGGGAAGAUUUGGAGGAUCAUCUGAAUACCCAUCCAACAGAGAUCCAUGAUUCAUGUAUUUCUCAAGACAGCCAUACACUAAAAUUAUAAGAUCAUAAGAAUAUUAAUUAUAUUCUACCAAUGCAAUACAAGCAUUGAAAUGGAUGGCAUCUGAUCCUGCUUCAUGUGAUUCUUCAUUUAGCUCUGGACUCUUUACAUCAUUAAGGCUUUUUCUUUGCAGGAAUUUAAAAGCAACCCUAUGAAUAUAACAUUUGUCAAAAAGAGCAAGUGCCAAGCCAGUUGAGAAUAACCUUACAAUGUGUACAAGGAUUCCAGUUCUGCUGCUAUAUAAACCAGCCUCAAAUA